GAGAAGCGAAAAUAUCAGCCGCUUUUUUAUCUGAACAACUCACUCACGCCUGGAACAAGAAAAUCCCUCCCAAUCCCUGCUCGAACCUCCAUUGCCCGACUGUUGUGCCGCCAUUCCGCGGCCACCUGCCAUCCCCUCGGAGUUGAGGAAGGGGUGGAGCCGCCCAGUUGCAAACCCUAACUGCUCCCCGCCUUGAAUUAGUGGUGGCGACGGUCGGCGGGAGGUCUCUAGGGAGGAAGAGAUCUAGGAUCUUGGAGACUGGUGAGCUUUGCCAUCACCUACCCUGACAAAUUCUAUGUUGCCUUGGCCUGCGCCGGGUUCGGCACCAGCUGGACCACCUCGUCCUCCGCAGUCGUCGAUAGCAGGAUUGAGCAUCUGCGCCACAACGAUCCGCCUAUGCCCAUGUACCCGGACGCCGCUGGACAACAUGAUCUGGUUCGCAACCUUUGCCCCUACCCUGCCUAGGACGAUGAGUCCGGUAAGCUCCGCCCUGGACUAGAGGAAGGAUCCCACAUCCAUCAGUUUGCUGCAAGAUCCGGGCCGAAGAGACAUGGUGAACUGGCUUUCGACUGCACCUUGGCAUCGUGAGAUCCACACUACUGGCAAGUUUGACCUCUGCAUCGUGAGAUCCAGACAACAGGCAAGUUUGAUGAAUUCCCUCUUUUCUCUUUCUUUUAACUAAGCCAUGGUAUUUGCAUAUUUAUAAUUGCUGGUUUGGUAUGCCUUCCACCACCAGUAAGUGAUAUGAUUAGUACCCAUAGAUUCGUGGUGGUUCUUUUUUGUGUUUGGUGAUUGCGUUGUUAUUUAAAGUACAAAUGAUUGUACAAAGUAUGGAGUACACUUGACACUUGAUUGAAUCAAACAUGUCAUUUGUUGAUAUCUGAACUGGGUGAUUGCUGGUACAUACACCUCUAGCAAACUGCACAAUAAUGCUAUUUUCAGUUAUUUGUCAGUAAUAGGUUCCACUGCCAGAGGCACAGCCUGAUGUUGGAGGCGUCGAGUCCAUUGCGGGAUCUGCCACCACUGCUGGCAAUCCAUGCUCGGUGCGGACAGUGCCGAAGAAUCUCUCAGUCUUGGUCCUUUAUUUAUCUUCAGCCAAUGCAGAAACUGAGCCGACAAGGGAAUAGUCCCAGUGUAGCUUAUUUAAUGUCAAUGUAGUUUAAGGUACAUACUACAACGUACUUGGUUUUGAUAUUUGCUUCCUAAGUAUAAAUACUUUAGAUACAUAGUAUUUACUUCUAACACAACAUUGUAUUAAACCUCUUAAUUCAGCCUACUCUUGCUGUGAUUCAUUCCGCUGACCUCUGCUCUUUUCUCGACGCUGUUCAAUGUUUAGUGUAAAUAUCCAAUAGUUCACACAUAAACUAAAGAGAGGACUUUUGAUGCCCAAGUCGUAGUUAGUUCACUUUCGUUGCUUUGUGCUAGCUGCAUACUCUAACCAGAUUAUAAUCAUCCAAUGUCAAUACACAAUUUUUCUAGCAAAGAAACCUGUAAACCGGUGCUUUGUAUAGUGAAAAUAUCAUUUGUUUCAGAUAUAUACAUAUAUCUCUUUAGAGAUUCUUGCAUGGUGAGUUGUAGGAUGGAGGUACCUGCGUGUCCUCAUAUGUCAGAGGUUGGUCCCUGGCCUCAUGGAUCUAAGGGAGCCCCCCAUGUCGGGGGGCCUGAGCCACUACCGUAUCGUCUUGCUCCGAGCUGGAGACGGGGAGCCCCGCCACCAACACUGAAGAAUUUCUAUGUCGGGACUAGGAAGGAAGGAUCGAGCGUCUAGAUCCGGAUGGAUUCAAUCAUCUCCUCGUCGCAUGUGACCGAAGCCCACGAUCUGGGAUGGCUCUGGUGCUCCAGUAGCAAAGAAAGUUUUGCCCCUCAGAACUUUCUGGUUUGAUUUACUGUAUUCCUCUACUUUAAUCCCCUUGGUUCUAACUUGAUGAUAUACAUGAAUGCCAACUAAGAUGGCUUGACUCUUUCAUGCGCUUAGGUUCAUUUUCAAGGAUUCAAGUGAAUAGGUUGUUCAAUCUAUUAAGUAUGUCACGUACAGAUGACAGUGAUGAUAUUACAGCUUGGUAACUUCCCGUGGUGAUGCAUAUUAAUAGUUUUUUCUAUGGAAUACAUAUUCCCAUAUCUUAAGAUUCAAUAUACUAGGCACUGAUCACUAAUGAUGUCUUAAGCCAGAACAAGUUUAUAAAUACAAGGAAAGUUUACACUGAAACUGGAAAAGCAUGCAUCUUCCUCGCUGUAUAAUGGUACAAUUUGUGUUAUGCUCAAUUAUUCCAAUUAACAAUCUAUACUUGAGGUUAGUUUGAGUUUGCAGUUAACCUUUCUUCGAUUAGUUCAAUUCCACUUCUCAUAAUUGAUUUUCUAUCUUUGUCCUCCCACCAGAAACAGUUGAACUGUAUGGACUGCCAACAUGCGUGAUAUGCAAUCAUAAAUAUGCGAUGAGGCCAAUCAGGGGUGUAAUGUAUAAGUUUUCAGCGGUGCCUACAGUAGCCUAUCAAAUUAACCUUUAAAUGUGCAACUGGGCAGUACAGAGGACUUGGAAUCUUUCCCAAAAAAGAAUACUCUGCUUACCUGGUGUAGUUCUUCCGAUAUGUCAAUUUAAGAUUAAAAGUAAUGGAAAACAACAGGAAUGGAAAGAUGUAGUAAAACGAUACACCGUGAUCUGGUGGGGAUGAUGAAAGGAUUUGUAACAGAUACAAAUAUUAGGUUUAGAUUAUAAGAUAUUCUUUUUAGCUGUUGUUUGCCCUUUGAACUAUUUGUAAUGACAAAUUGGCAUAGUGGCAAUUUAGUACCACUGCAUGUCCUGCUGCUCCAUAUUUGGAACAUAUGGCUUGAGUUGUAAAUAACAUGGGCACUACUCUUUCAA